GAGGUGAACCCACUAAGCCCAGGACACAAGCUAGCAGGGAACCAGAGAACCCAGGCCUGUCCGGCCAUCCUCUACAGCUUCCAACGAGCAUUCUGCUUUGGGAGCACCAGAUUUGAAGCGAGAUCCUUAGGAGCAGGGCCCUGAAGGUCUCAAUGUCUCUGGCUGGCUUGCGCUUCUCUAUACAGAACCGUGCUGGCAGCGUGCUGCCGGCGUGCUGGCAGAUGCGCACGGAGUGGGAAUCGGAGUUCACUGUGCAACAGCAGCUACCAUUCACCCACACCUGCCCUGCUGGAAUGGCGGGGAGCCAGGGUUUGAUCUGAAUUUUGUCUACCUGACCCCCAGCCCUAUCCUCUUGACCCCCAAUCUGCACACACUCGGCUCUGCCCCAGCUAGAAGCCAGAGCCAGCGGAGAGCUCUUGCUGUACACUGACGACUCUUUGGAAAGACCGGGUAUUUCCCCACAACCUCGAAAGGCGGACAUGAAAGGGAAGCUGAGGCCCCAAGUGGCGGUCAGACAGCGAGGGGCUGGGACCGAAUCCUUGCUCAGCACCUGGGAUGCAGAUCUCUGCCUCAUACAGUGUCAUCAAGCCCAGCAGAGUGCCUGGCAUAGAGCCGUGUCACCAGGAGCCUCCACAUGCUCACCUAAGAAGCCAGGGGACACUAGCUCAGGGUGGGGAGGCGAUGGGGGUGGGAUGCCAAGGGCACCACAGGCCCCAGAGGUACCCACAACCUCCCACUCCAACCCUCCUUACCCGCAAAACCUUGGGCCCACCUCAAAGGGCCUGAGGGAGUCAUUGGGCCGGUGUGGCCUUCGGAGGCCCCAGGACCUCCCUUAAGUCCCGUAAUAAUUAAUGAAACCGGAUAUUCCUGGAUAAACUUUCCCAGCCCUUUGGGGUUUCUCUCGUUCUCCCAGAUACCAUUUAAUAUAUCACCUCAUUGGGCUGUAUAUACCUGUCCCUAAUA